CAGUCGAGCGGUAGAGAGAAGCUUGCUUCUCUUGAGAGCGGCGGACGGGUGAGUAAUGCCUAGGAAUCUGCCUGGUAGUGGGGGAUAACGUCCGGAAACGGACGCUAAUACCGCAUACGUCCUACGGGAGAAAGCAGGGGACCUUCGGGCCUUGCGCUAUCAGAUGAGCCUAGGUCGGAUUAGCUAGUUGGUGAGGUAAUGGCUCACCAAGGCGACGAUCCGUAACUGGUCUGAGAGGAUGAUCAGUCACACUGGAACUGAGACACGGUCCAGACUCCUACGGGAGGCAGCAGUGGGGAAUAUUGGACAAUGGGCGAAAGCCUGAUCCAGCCAUGCCGCGUGUGUGAAGAAGGUCUUCGGAUUGUAAAGCACUUUAAGUUGGGAGGAAGGGCAUUAACCUAAUACGUUAGUGUUUUGACGUUACCGACAGAAUAAGCACCGGCUAACUCUGUGCCAGCAGCCGCGGUAAUACAGAGGGUGCAAGCGUUAAUCGGAAUUACUGGGCGUAAAGCGCGCGUAGGUGGUUUGUUAAGUUGGAUGUGAAAGCCCCGGGCUCAACCUGGGAACUGCAUUCAAAACUGACAAGCUAGAGUAUGGUAGAGGGUGGUGGAAUUUCCUGUGUAGCGGUGAAAUGCGUAGAUAUAGGAAGGAACACCAGUGGCGAAGGCGACCACCUGGACUGAUACUGACACUGAGGU
rnacentral:rRNA from 1 species